CCAUGCACCAUAGGAUAACUAUGAAUGUGACCUAACAAAGUCAUAUUAUAAUAUCAUAAAGUAGGAUACCCCUGAUAGUAGACAGAGAGGUGUGGACUUCAGAGCUCUUGUUUCAGAAGUAAAACAGAAAAGAUCCUGUGCAGACAAACUCUAAAACGUACUUGAAUUUUCAUGUUAGGACUACUAAGGAUUACAGAAGACAAUACUUUCCCAGGAUUUUGGCUAAGAUGCCAAAUGUCUGAACAAAUGACUUAGCAAUGAAGAGUUGGACACUAAAUAGGAAAGAGAAAGACAAUACUGAAGUUACCUAUUUGGGUCUUUCUUUUUCUGACAACUUCAUGAAACUUGGGAGAGAUCGAUGAUCUGUGAAGACAGGAGUUCCAGUCUCUGAAACCGUAUCAGUAGGAUCAAAUCUUGCUGCCCCCACUGCUAACUUUGUGACGGUGAGAACAUGCAAAACCAUGCUACAAAUUCCCGCUUCCAGAGAUGAGUCCCAAGAUGUUAUGUCUUCCUGGCUGUGAUGGGCAGUACCUCCUUAAAUCAUCAGGCAAAACAAAACUCUUCUCCCUAAAGUUGCAUUUGUCGGGUAACUGCACAGCGAUGAACAAGAUAUACAAUUUCUACUGAGAAAGAAGAUAUACAAAUACAAAUUCUACUGAGAAAGAAGACCCUUACCCAGUUAUAUAAUUGUAUUGCUUUUCACUGUGAACAAGAUACUGUAACUAAAGCUCUCUUUUUUAUAUAAAAGUAUGUAAUAUCCACCUUUCCUAAAAUAAUAGAAGAACAUUCUGCUCUGCCCCAAA